GUUAUGCCACCGAAUACAUUAGCAUGGGAUAAUGGAAUAGGACCCUGUCCUCCUAUUUUCAGUUGGUUUAGGCAGCGCGAGGACUAGGGUAAUGAUUAAUAGGGAUAGUUGGGGGCAUUAAUAUUUAAUUGUCAGAGGUGAAAUUCUUGGAUUUAUGAAAGAUUAACUUCUGCGAAAGCAUCUGCCAAGGAUGUUUUCAUUAAUCAAGAACGAAAGUAAGGGGAUCGAAGACGAUCAGAUACCGUCGUAGUCUUAACCAUAAACGAUGCCGACCAGCGAUUAGGAGACGUUGAAUACAAAACACCGCCAUCGGUGCGGUCGCCCUUGGCGGUCGGUUUCGGCCGGCCGCGGGGGUGGCUUAGCCCGGUGGCACCGGUGAAUGACUCCCCUAGCAGCU
rnacentral:rRNA from 1 species